GCUGGCAUGGUGUAGUGGUUUGAGCACUGCAGCACUACAACUUUUCUGAGCCCAUCAGUGUUCAAAUCCCUGUUCAGCC